AACGAACGCUGGCGGCAUGCCUAACACAUGCAAGUCGAACGAUCCCUUCGGGGAUAGUGGCGCACGGGUGCGUCACGCGUCGGAACCUGCCCUUAGGCUCGGAAUAACUCAUAGAAAUUUGAGCUAAUACCGGAUAAUGUCUUCGGACCCAAGAUUUAUCGCCGUUGGAUGGGCCCGCGUUGGAUUAGCUAGUUGGUGGGGUAAAGGCCUACCAAGGCGACGAUCCAUAGCUGGUCUGAGAGGAUGAUCAGCCACACUGGGAUUGAGACACGGCCCAGAAUCCUACGGGAGGCAGCAGUGGGGAAUAUUGGAAAAUGGGCGAAAGCCUGAUCGAGCAAUGCCGCGUGAGUGAUGAAGGCCUUAGGGUUGUAAAGCUCUUUUACCCGGGAUGAUAAUGACAGUACCGGGAGAAUAAGCCCCGGCUAACUCCGUG
rnacentral:rRNA from 1 species